GGCCGCAGGUCCAGGUCUGUAUGCGAGGCGGGGCCGGUCGGGGAGGGGACUGUUAGGCGCCCGCGGCUCUGCUGACCCGCCGCGCCUUGGCUGUUUUUCUUUCCCUGCAGGCGCCAUGGCUGCGGAGCGGACCCGGCCGCUACAAGGCUCUGGCGGCCCGAGCGUGCCUAGUAGCUGUGAACCCGGCGCGAGGUCCCGGGCCCCGGGGCGCUCGCUCAGGUAAAUUUUUCCAUAACCUUAUGGAGAGAAAGGACUUUGAGACAUGGCUUGAUAACAUUUCUGUUACAUUUCUUUCUCUGACGGACUUGCAGAAAAAUGAAACUCUGGAUCACCUGAUUAGUCUGAGUGGGGCAGUCCAGCUCAGGCAUCUCUCCAAUAACCUAGAGACUCUCCUCAAGCGGGACUUCCUCAAACUCCUUCCCCUGGAGCUCAGUUUUUAUUUGUUAAAAUGGCUCGAUCCUCAGACUUUACUCACAUGCUGCCUCGUCUCUAAACAGUGGAAUAAGGUGAUAAGUGCCUGUACAGAGGUGUGGCAGACUGCAUGUAAAAAUUUGGGCUGGCAGAUAGAUGAUUCUGUUCAGGACGCUUUGCACUGGAAGAAGGUUUAUUUGAAGGCUAUUUUGAGAAUGAAGCAACUGGAGGACCAUGAAGCCUUUGAAACCUCAUCAUUAAUUGGACACAGUGCCAGAGUGUAUGCACUUUACUACAAAGAUGGACUUCUCUGUACAGGGUCAGAUGACUUGUCUGCAAAGCUGUGGGAUGUGAGCACAGGGCAGUGCGUUUAUGGCAUCCAGACCCACACUUGUGCAGCGGUGAAGUUUGAUGAACAGAAGCUUGUGACAGGCUCCUUUGACAACACUGUGGCUUGCUGGGAAUGGAGUUCCGGAGCCAGGACCCAGCACUUUCGGGGGCACACGGGGGCGGUAUUUAGCGUGGACUACAAUGAUGAACUGGAUAUCUUGGUGAGCGGCUCUGCAGACUUCACUGUGAAAGUAUGGGCUUUAUCUGCUGGGACAUGCCUGAACACACUCACCGGGCACACGGAAUGGGUCACCAAGGUAG
rnacentral:sRNA from 1 species